UACAGAGGUCCCGAGCGUUGUUCGGAUUCACUGGGCGUAAAGGGUGCGUAGGCGGUCGGGUAAGUCUGAUGUGAAAUCUCACAGCUUAACUGUGAAACUGCAUUGGAUACUAUUCGGCUUGAGAGUUGGAGGGGGGACUGGAAUUCUUGGUGUAGCAGUGAAAUGCGUAGAUAUCAAGAGGAACACCAGUGGCGAAGGCGAGUCCCUGGACAACUUCUGACGCUGAGGCACGAAAGCUAGGGGAGCAAACGGG
rnacentral:rRNA from 1 species